CAAUAGCGUAUAUUAAAGCUGUUGCGGUUAAAAAGCUCGUAGUUGGAUUUCUGUCAAGGACAACUGGUCCGCCCUCCGGGUGAGCACAUAGUUUGGUCUUGGCAUCUUGCUGGAAACUGUUGCUGCACUUGGUUGUGUGGCGCAGCAUCCAGCACUUUCACUUUGAGGAAAUUGGAGUGUUUCAAGCAGGCACAUGCCUUUGGACACAGUAGCAUGGAAUAAUUAGAUUGGGCUUUUGCUCCAAUUUGUCGGUUUCUGGAGCUGAGGUGAGAAUUAAUGGGGAUUGUUGGGGGCAUCCGAAUUUAGCCGUCAGAGGUGAAAUUCUUGGAUCUGCUAAAGACGGACAACUGCGAAAGCGUCUGCCCAGGAUGUUUNCAUUG
rnacentral:rRNA from 1 species